GAAAUGCGAUAAGUAGUGUGAAUUGCAGAAUUCAGUGAAUCAUCGAAUCUUUGAACGCACAUUGCGCCCUUUGGUAUUCCUAAGGGCAUGCCUGUUCGAGCGUCAUUUAAACCUUCAAGCUCAGCUUGGUGAUGGGUGACUGUCCCCUCCUCGCGGGGGGACUCGCCUCAAAAACAUUGGCGGCCGGUACAUUGGCUUCGAGCGCAGCAGAAACGCGGUCUCGAGCCCGGUGGAUCGGCUCCCACAAGCCUAUUCUUUUAUUUUGACCUCGGAUCAGGUAGGGAUACCCGCUGAACUUAAGC
rnacentral:misc_RNA from 1 species